rnacentral:rRNA from 1 species
CGCCUGACCAGCACUUGGGAGAUUGGGCGAGUAGUGUACGCGUUAUGUCUAAUGGCUGCUGCUUGCCACCCGGACUACGUCCUAAGAAUUUCUGGAUAUAAUACUGAAAUAUGACAAUUUUAUAUCAGACAAGUCUUGACCAAAUUACGUGCCAGCAGUCGCGGUAAUACGUAGAAGACGAGUGUUAGUCAUCUUUAAUAGGUUUAAAGGGUACCUAGACGGCAUUAUUAACCCUAAACGGAAAUAGUUUUGCUAGAGUUUUAUAUGAGAAGGGGAGUAUUUACGGAGUAGAGAUGAAAUUCUUUGAUACCUUAAGGACUGGCAAGGGCGAAAGCGGCCUUCUAUGUAAAAACUGACGUUGAGGGACGGAGGCUUAGAUAGCGAACAGGAUUAGAUACCCUAGUAGUCUUUGCAGAGAAUUAUGAAUGCCAUAGAUUAGAUUUUUCUUCUGGUUUAUAAAUGAAAGUGUAAGCAUUCCACCUCAUGAGUAAUGUGGCAACGCAGGAACUGAAAUCAUUAGACCGUUUCUGAGAACAGUAGUGAAGUAUGUUAUUUAAUUCGAUAAUCCGCA